AUUCAGUCAAUAUUGCACAAAUGAGAGAAAGAAAUAAUGCACUUCUCAUCUCACCAGUUUCUUUCUAUAAGUAGUGUUAAAGUUUGUUCGGCAGCAGCAGAUUAUAAAACAAACUAAUCUCAUGAGCAGGAGAAAAUCACUGGGCUCAAAAUCUUGCCUGUCUGGAGACAGUCAGACUUUCCAUCAGGGACCUGCCAUCUCUAGCUCCACAAAUCUACUCCUACAGGCUCUUUGUCUGAAAUGAACAAGGUAACUCCAUGAAACAUAACAUGCUUAGAUGUUCUGUUACUUACUAUUUCCCUUUAUUAUUCAGUUUGCAGAAACUCUGUAGACUAUAUCUCUUGAAGCCAUGAAUAAACCCCAUCGCUAUUCAUGGAAAAAUAAUACAUGACAUUUUUAUUUUACAGACAAUUUCCCAUCUACAGAAAUUUAAUACUUAAAUUCAUGAUAAAUGUGUAGAGUCAGAUAGAGUGUAACGAUGCCAGUAUGUGUCAAUUUGCUACUUUAAUGUGUUCCGUCAUUUUCAUCUCUCCUGUUUUCUGAGUGAUAGUAAUUGAUGCUGCAAAAGGACAAACCAAUGUAUUGUGUUCCUCUCUUCAGGAAGCAAAAGUAGCAUCUUCCUGCAUUGAAAUGAAAGCCAAAAAGGGCAUGAGCCAAAGGAGAGAACUAAUUUAGUUAUAUAAUUUUAGAAAUAAGAUGUGAGCUCAGUUUGUUCAAGGUAGGGCCAAGGCAUCUGUUAGUCAUAGUCAUACACAUGUGCAGGUCAAGAUUCACUUUCUAAAGCCUCACUAUACCCCAGUAAAAAAUAGAAGAUCAAUAUAAACAGCCAUAAAUUUUAGAUAGUUUUAUCAGUUUCCAAAGAUAAGCAUCAAUCAGAAGAGUAACAUCAGCAAAAUGGCUGACCAACAGACCCUUGACCUUGUCCCCCUCACAAAGUCAACCAGAGCAAUGACUAAACAAAUACAUAUUAAUGAAAAUAACUGAGAGAGAGGGCCGGAGUGCAUAAGAGGAGUAACAGAAACCCUGUUGAGCACAGAAAUCCAGGAUAGCCACAUAAAGAAUAGAAAAAAAUCCCAGGCUUCCACCAUCCCAUCCCCCAAUUGAGAUUAGCUGGGAGCCAGGAGGAAAUUUUCCCCACAGCAUGGAGGUAAGAAAGAAGAUCGCAACAACUCUUUUCAACACCUUAGACAUUGAUAAGGUUUGGCUCUGUGUCUCCACCCAAAUCUCAUCUUGUAACUCCCAUCAUUCCCACAUAUUGUGGAAGGGACCCAGUGAGAAAUGACUAAAUUAUGAGGAUGUGUCUUUCCCAUGCUGUUCUCAUGAUAGUGAAUGGGUCUCACAAGAUCUGAUGGUUUAAAAAAUGGGUGUUGUGCUGCACAAGAUCUCUUUGCCUGCUGCCAUCCAUGUAAGAUGUGACUUGCUCCUCCUUGCCUUCUGCCAUGGUUGUGAGGCCUCCCCAGCCAUGUGGAACUGUAAGCCCAAUAAACCUUUUUCUUUUGUAAAUUGCCCAGUCUUGGGUAUGUCUUUAUCAGCAGCAUGAAAACAGACAAAUACAGUAAACUGGUACCAGUAGAGUGGGGUGCUGCUGAAAAGAUACCUGAAAAUAUGGCAGUGACUUUGGUACUGGGUAACAAGCAGAGAUUGGAACAGUUUAGAGGGCUCAGAAGAAGACGGGAAAAUGUGGGAAAGUUUAGAACUCCCUAGAGACUUGUUGAAUCACUUUGACCAAAAUGCUAAUAAUGAUAUGGACAAUGAAAUCCAGGCUGAGGUGGCCUCAGAUGGAGAUGAGGAAAUUGUUGGAAACUGGAGCAGAGGUGACUAUUAUGUUUUAGCAAAGACACUGGCAGCAUUUUGCCCCUGCUCUAGAGAUUUGUGGAACUUUGAACUUGAGAGAGAUUGUUAGGAUAUCUGGCAGAAGAAAUUUCUAAGCAGCAAAGUAUUCAAGAGGUGACUGGGUGCUGUUAAAGGUGUUCAGGUUUUUAAGGGAAGCAGAGCAUAAAAGUUCAGAAAAUUUGCAGCCUGACAAUGUGAUAGAAAAGAAAAUCUCGUAUUCUGAGGAGAAAUUCAAGCCAGCAGCAGAAAUUUUCAUAAGUAAUGAGGAGCUGAAUGUUAAUCUCCAAGAAAAUGGAAAAAAAUGUCUCGAGGGUAUGUUGGAGAUCUUCACAUCAGGCCCUCCCUUCACAAGCCUAGAGGCCUAGGAGGCCUAGGAGGAAAAGUGGUUUUGUGGCUGGGCCCAGAGUCCCCAUGCUAUGUCCAGCCUAGGGACUUGGUGUUCUGUGCCCCAGCUAAAAUGGGCCAAUGUAGUGCUCGCGCCAUGGCUUCAGAGGGUGCGAGCCCCAAACUUUGGCAGCUUUCAUGUGGUGUUGAGCCUGCAGGUGCACAAAAGUCCAAAAUUGGGUUUGGGAACCUCCAUCUAGAUUUCAGAGAAUGUAUGGAAAUGCCUGGAUGUCCAGGCAGAAGUUUACUGCAGGGGUGGGGCUCUCAUGAAGAACAUCUAUUAGAACAGUGCAGAAGGGAAAUGUGGGGUUGGAGCUCCCACACAGAGUCCCUGCUGGGGCACCACCUAGUGGAGCUGUGAGAAGAAGGCCACCAUCCUCCAGAUCCCAGAGUGGUAGAUUCACUGACAGCUUGAACUGUGCACCUAGAAAAGCUGCAGACAUGUAAUGCCAGCCCAUGAAAGCAGCCAGGAAUUCAGCUGUACCCUGCAAAGCCACAGGAGCAGAGCUGUCCAAGACCACAAGAACUCACUACUUCCAUUGACAUGAACUGGAUAUGAGACAUGGAGUGAAAAGAGAUAAUUUUGGAGUUUUAAGGUUUGACUGCCCCAUUGGAUUUUGUACUUGCAUGGGGCCUGUAGCCCCUUUCUUUUGGCCAGUUGCUCCCAUUUGGAAUGGCUGUAUUUACCCAAAGCCUGUACCCUCAUUGUAUCUAGGAAGUAACUAAAUUGCUUUAGUUUACAGGCUCAUAGGCAGGGGGGACUUGCCUUGUCUCAGAUGAGACUUUGGACUGUAGACUUUUGAGUUAAUGCUGAAGUGAGUUCAGACUUUGGAGGACUGUUGGGAAGACAUGAUUGGUUUUGAAAUGUGAAGAUAUGAGAUUUGGGAGGGGCCGGGGUGGAAUGAUAUGUUUUGGCUCUGUGUCCCCACCCUAAUCUCAUCUUGUAGCUCCCAUAAUUCCCACCCAUUUUGGGAGGGACUCAGUGGGAGAUGAUUGAAUUAUGGGGGCGGGUCUUCCCAGUGCUGUUCUCAUGAUAGUGAAUGGGUCUCACAAGAUCUGAUGGUUUUAAAAAUGGGAGUUGCCCUGCACAAGCUCUUUGCCUGCUGCCAUCCAUGUAAGAUGUGACCUGCUCCUCCUUGCCUUCUGCCAUGAUUGUGAGGCCUCCCCAGCCAUGUGGAUUUGUAAGUUCAAUAAAC
rnacentral:lncRNA from 10 species